GACCCAUUGUAAGGAUCUUUUCGUCUUUCUUUCUUGAUUUCUUUUGAGUUUUUUUUUUUCUUACAAAAAUGCUUUUUUGUGUUAAAAUUGUAAUCUUGCUAGUGAGUUUUGUACAUUUAUGUCUAAAAGUUGUCAUUUUGCUUGUGGUUUUUGUACAUUUAUUUAUAAAAGUUGUAAUCUUGAUUGUGGGUUUUGUACAUUUAUGUAUAAAAGUUGUAAUUUUUCUUGUGGGUAUGUACUAUUUUAUAGAAAAGUUGUAAUCUUGCUUGUGCUUUUUGUAGAGUUAUGUAUAAAAGUGUAAUUUUGCUUGUGCGUAUGUACAUUUUUAUCUUAAUGAUCGCUUUGAUGUAGCGAGUAGUGAUUUGCUUCUUGGGAUGGGUAGCUUGAAUCCUAUCAAUUCUUUUGCUAAUUUUGAUAAAGGUAGAAUCAUGACUUUAGCAAAGUGUUACCCAGAUGAGUUUGAUGAACUACAGAUUCGAGAUUUGAGUUACCAACUCGAUACUUUCAUAUUUCAUAUGCGAAGUGGUAAUCCCAAGUUCUCCAACUUGCAAGGAAUUCGUGAUUUGGCAAAAGCAUUGGUUGAGGCAAAUCUUGUGGAUACUUAUUCACUUGUUUAUUUACUUGUGAAAUUAACUCUGAUCUUACCUGUUGCUACCGCAACUGUGGAGAGAGCAUUCUCAUCCAUGAAGCGGAUCAAAAAUGAAGUGCAAAAUAGAAUUGGUGAUCAAUAUUUGAAUGAUUGUUUAGUUUGUUACAUAGAGCGUGAUGUAUUCACAAAUGUAAGUAAUGAUGUCGUCAUUGAUCAUUUUCAGAAGAUGAAACCUCGUCGAGGACAAUUGUAAAUGAAUGAUGGAUAUUUAUGAUAUUAGUAAUAUUAUUGAAAGUUUUAUGCUUUUCUCUU